rnacentral:rRNA from 1 species
UACGUAGGGCGCAAGCGUUAUCCGGAAUUAUUGGGCGUAAAGAGCUCGUAGGCGGUUUGUCGCGUCUGCUGUGAAAUCCCGAGGCUCAACCUCGGGUCUGCAGUGGGUACGGGCAGACUAGAGUGCGGUAGGGGAGAUUGGAAUUCCUGGUGUAGCGGUGGAAUGCGCAGAUAUCAGGAGGAACACCGAUGGCGAAGGCAGAUCUCUGGGCCGUAACUGACGCUGAGGAGCGAAAGGGUGGGGAGCAAACAGGCUUAGAAACCCGAGUAGUCC